UUUAGAGCCGGGAUGAUCCAAUAGGAUGAUGUAUGACAAUGUUAUUGUACGCAUCAAGAGUCAUAAAAUCAUCCAAAACUGGUGCAGUGCAUUGCCCUGUGAAUAACUUGCAAGCCACCUUGUACAUUCCCUUCUUGAAUUUCUCCUUUCCAACUUCUCUCUCAAUCCUAGCCAUUUCAUCCUCAACCACUCUUCCAAACAGGUCUAAGUUCACUUUCACCCCAAGUCCAUCUCCAUCCAAUUCCACUCCAUAGUUCAGCCACUGCCAAUUCUGAACUCGGCUAAUCUCAGCUGUUGCAGCAUCCUCCAUGAGGUUGUAAAGUGGAACAGAACCAGCCCCUGUCAGCCAAGCUGCCAAGUACUGAAUUCCCACUCGGGUGUUCAGCCGGAGGCCCUCCAUGGUUCGAACCCCUCUUGGACUCUGCAGCAGGUCUUCUUCAAUUAGGACCGAUGCAUCUUGACGCUUCAUGGAAUGGAUUUGGUUAGGAGCAUUUGUCAUGUUGUUGGUGAAGACUUCCAU